GUCUGGUUCACGGUUUUCACUGUCUCAAAAACGCGCCUCCGAUGAACCCUGCAGACAGCAACCAUCAGCUCCUCCACCAUCAGCUCCUCCACCAUCAGCUCCUCUCCACCAUCAGCUCCUCCACCAUCAGCUCCUCCACCAUCAGCUCCUCCACCAUCAGCUCCUCAACCAUCAGCUCCUCUCCACCAUCAGCUCCUCUCCACCAUCAGCUCCUCCACCAUCAGCUCCUCUCCACCAUCAGCUCCUCCACCAUCAGCUCCUCCAUCAUCAGCUCCUCAACCAUCAGCUCCUCCACCAUCAGCUCCUCAACCAUCAGCUCCUCAACCAUCAGCUCCUCUCCACCAUCAGCUCCUCUCCACCAUCAGCUCCUCUCCACCAUCAGCUCCUCUCCACCAUCAGCUCCUCCACCAUCAGCUCCUCAACCAUCAGCUCCUCAACCAUCAACUCCUCAACCAUCAGCUCCUCCACCAUCAGCUCCUCCACCAUCAGCUCCUCUCCACCAUCAGCUCCUCCACCAUCAGCUCCUCCACCAUCAGCUCCUCAACCAUCAGCUCCUCCACCAUCAGCUCCUCAACCAUCAGCUCCUCAACCAUCAGCUCCUCUCCACCAUCAGCUCCUCUCCACCAUCAGCUCCUCCUCCACCAUCAGCUCCUCCACCAUCAGCUCCUCUCCACCAUCAGCUCCUCCACCAUCAGCUCCUCCACCAUCAGCUCCUCAACCAUCAGCUCCUCCAUCAUCAGCUCCUCAACCAUCAGCUCCUCCACCAUCAGCUCCUCAACCAUCAGCUCCUCAACCAUCAGCUCCUCUCCACCAUCAGCUCCUCUCCACCAUCAGCUCCUCUCCACCAUCAGCUCUCUCCACCAUCAGCUCCUCCACCAUCAGCUCCUCAACCAUCAGCUCCUCAACCAUCAACUCCUCAACCAUCAGCUCCUCCACCAUCAGCUCCCACCAUCAGCUCCUCCACAUCAGCUCCUCCACCAUCAGCUCCUCCACCAUCAGCUCCUCAACCAUCAGCUCCUCCACCAUCAGCUCCUCAACCAUCAGCUCCUCCACCAUCAGCUCCUCCACCAUCAUC
rnacentral:lncRNA from 1 species